rnacentral:rRNA from 1 species
GACGAACCGUGCGAACGUUGUUCGGAAUCACUGGGCUUAAAGGGCGCGUAGGCGGCCCGCCGCGUCCGGGGUGAAAUCCUCCCGCUCAACGGGAGAACGGCCUCGGAUACGGGCGGGCUGGAGGGGGUAGGGGCGGGCGGAACUGUGGGUGGAGCGGUGAAAUGCGUUGAGAUCCACAGGAACUCCGGUGGCGAAGGCGGCCCGCUGGACCCCAUCUGACGCUGAGGCGCGAAGCCAGGGGAGCGAACGGG